rnacentral:sRNA from 1 species
UCUAGGACGUAGACAAGUGGCGAGAGU